AGUAAAAAAUAGCUCUCUCAAGUAUCCAAUUUCAAGAUCUUUGAAAAUAUCUCUGCAUAUUAUAGACCUUUGAUUUCUUUUCUCUCCCUAGGUACAAGAGACCUGCUUGUCACCUCUCCUGUCUGUGAAAUACGAUUUAUGAUGAAGAUAAACGAUUACAAUAGCAUUUGAAACCAGGUGCACAGUGAGGGGGGAGCAGCCGUUGGUCCCUGCGUGAGGUGGGCAGCUGUGAGGCGAGGUGAGGUGAGGUGGGCACCUCCCCCCCCCAGCUCUGUGAGGGGCCAUUCUAACGGGCACCCUCAUGGCCGGCCUGGGUGUGAGGAGCUUCUGAGGGACUUCAGGAGACCCCGUAUUUAGCUUGUGAGGAGAACAUUUGUUCUGUGGUGUUUGCUUUGUUGUUUGUUUGUUUUGUCUAGCUUAAAAAAUGCUGGUUGUUUUCAGCUUGGUAGCCUUCCCUUCUGGUUAAUGUUGUGUUGUUAGAGGAGUGAGCAAUUUACCAAUAGCACAGACACAUCAAGCUUUUACUUUGUGGGCCCAAAAAAAUGAGUAUUACACCUGUAUAUCUAAAGAUAUUUAAAUGUGUUUUUCUUUUACUAUUCCCUUAUAGAUUAACACCAGAGUUGUGGUCCUGCCCAUCACCCAACACACACAGGUGGAGCAGCGUUGGUGUGAAAUACUGGAGCAGUCAUGCCUGGUGGGCUUUGGAAACAGCAGAAGCUGUGUGUGCUGUGCUUGGCUUUCAGGAUUUCAGAAGUUCGUACUGCUGUGGCAGGUGAAACCCCAGACUUCUCACGUUGAUGCUGGUACUACGUUUUGAAGAUAGAAUAAAUGGAUGAAAUGUCAAGCAGCAUAGUAAGUACAGCAUUUACCUGAGACCAUUUUCUCCCUUUACUUAAGGACCCAAUUGCUAAGAUACUGGCACUUCUGGCAGCUGUCUUCAGUUUCUGGCUUUCUUCAUAGAUUUGGUUAUUGCUUCUAUUGGUAUACUGUCAAGAAAAGGUUAAGUAUUAAUAGUCUGACGUUUCUGAUUGAAAACUGUUUCUUGGUAGAUAACAUCCAUUUCUAAAACAUAUCCAUAUUUAAAGAAUGUUUUCCUUACCAUAUCCAUAUCUGGUGAUGAUUUAGGUAGUCAUUAAUCUGUAAGUAGUACAUGAUUUAGUAGUCUUGCAGGGAGAGAACUUAAGGUUAAAGAGAGAGAACUUUUUUCCAAGAACAACAUUAAUAACACUAUGGUACAGAGCAGCUGUAUAGAGCUUUUAUCUUUCUCUUCCACAUUGUUUCUAAGUUUUUUUUUUUAAGAGCUUUAUUUCCUUUUUGUGUUUUCUUCAACUAUUUGAGUACUGAGAUAUACUGUAAUGUCUGAAGUAAGAAUAAGAAUGUUUACAAAACAUAGCAUCAGUAUCUUCUAAUAUAGUAAUAUUAUAACUUAAGAUUUGUACUGAGAAAUCUAUAACCACUAUGACUUUGUAAUCACUAUAGUGUUUUUUUUCUGUGGUUCUGUGGAAUCUGCAUCCAAUUUAAACUUGCAAAAGGCAUUAAUCUGUUUUUCUCUUCACUUUCAAAAAUUGCUUUGUAAAAUUACUUUUUUAAUGUUUUAUUCCAAUCCAGGUAAAAUGCCUGUCAAAAAGAUAGUAGUGAGUCUGUUUCAUUGUGCAGGAUGUCAGCUGCAUCACCUAGUUAAUA
ensembl:lncRNA